UACGUAGGUGGCAAGCGUUUGUCCGGAUUUACUGGGCGUAAAGAGCGCGCAGGCGGUCGAUCAAGUCGCGUGUGAAAGCCCCGGCUCAACUGGGGAGGGUCACGCGAUACUGAUCGACUCGAAGGCAGGAGAGGGUAGUGGAAUUCCCGGUGUAGUGGUGAAAUGCGUAGAGUAUCGGGAGGAACACCAGUGGCGAAGGCGACUACCUGGCCUGUUCUUGACGCUGAGGCGCGAAAGCUAGGGGAGCAAACGGG
rnacentral:rRNA from 1 species